rnacentral:rRNA from 1 species
UACGUAGGGCGCAAGCGUUAUCCGGAAUUAUUGGGCGUAAAGAGCUCGUAGGCGGUUUGUCGCGUCUGCCGUGAAAAGUCCGGGGCUCAACUCCGGAUCUGCGGUGGGUACGGGCAGACUAGAGUGAUGUAGGGGGAGACUGGAAUUCCUGGUGUAGCGGUGAAAAUGCGUAGAUAUCAGGAGGAACACCGGCGGCGAAGGCGGCCCUCUGGCUCGUUGCUGACGCUGAAACGCGAAAAGCGUGGGGAGCAACAGGG